rnacentral:rRNA from 1 species
CCUACGGGAGGCAGCAGUGAGGAAUAUUGGUCAAUGGGCGUAAGCCUGAACCAGCCAAGUCGCGUGAGGGAUGAAGGUUCUAUGGAUCGUAAACCUCUUUUAUAAGGGAAUAAAGUGCGGGACGUGUCCCGUUUUGUAUGUACCUUAUGAAUAAGGAUCGGCUAACUCCGUGCCAGCAGCCGCGGUACUACGGAGGAUCCGAGCGUUGUCCGGAUUUAUUGGGUUUAAAGGGUGCGUAGGCGGCCUGUUAACUCAGCGGUGAAAGUCUGUGGCUUAACCAUAGAAUUGCCGUUGAAACUGGGUGGCUUGAGUAUGUUUGAGGGAGGCGGAAUGCGUGGUGUAGCGGUGAAAUGCGUAGAGAUGACGCAGAACCCCGAAUGCGAAGGCAGCC